rnacentral:rRNA from 1 species
AUGCCAGCCGCCGCGGUAAUACGUAGGGUGCAAGCGUUAUCCGGAAUUAUUGGGCGUAAAGAGCUCGUAGGCGGUUUGUCGCGUCUGCUGUGAAAACUGGAGGCUCAACCUCCAGCCUGCAGUGGGUACGGGCAGACUAGAGUGCGGUAGGGGAGAUUGGAAUUCCUGGUGUAGCGGUGGAAUGCGCAGAUAUCAGGAGGAACACCGAUGGCGAAGGCAGAUCUCUGGGCCGUAACUGACGCUGAGGAGCGAAAGCAUGGGGAGCGAACAGGAUUAGAUACCCGGUAGUC